AGGCAUCAUUUCCCGGAUGGGGUUGGGCUUCCGCUGUUUCUGCUGAACGUGACUGUGGGUCAGUAAAGGAGAGCGGCUGCGUGUACAGCCUUGUUUGGCGUUUUGCCGCGGCUGCGCUGUUCGGCUGAUGAAUGAGAGCGGCUGCGUGUACAGCCUUGUUUGGCGUUUUGCCGCGGCUGCGCUGUUCGGCUGAUGAAUGUGAUCGCAUCGGUCCUCCUCCAGAAAUUAUUUGGCUGGUUAAUAUCCCCGCAGUGGCAUCACCGCUGUCUCGUUCCAGGAGCUGCUGGCCUUUAUUGAUCAGGGUCGAUGAUCUCCUCUUUAGACGGUGGUGGUGGUUCUUCAUUGUGUGUUGUGGCCUUUGGCAUGCACUGGGGUUUUUAUUUUGGUAGGUGAGUGUUAUGUAGAUUAGGAGCCCUUUCUGGAAAGUCUUUCCUGUACUUUAGGCCGCAGCUCCAUGAUAUUUUGAAUGAUUAACGAUCGUAUAAACCUUUCUGAGUUGAUGUUUCCAUUUUAUUGAUUUUAUGCUACCUUAAUAAAAGAUUGGUGUUUGAUGCCUGUGUCUCCACGU